CGAUGUGAGGGCGAUCUGGCUGCGACAUCUGUCACCCCAUUGAUCGCCAGGGUUGAUUCGGCUGAUCUGGCUGGCUAGGCAGGUGUCCCCUUCCUCCCUCACCUCUCCAUGUGCGUCCCUCCCGAAGCUGCGCGCUCGGUGGAAGAGGAUGACGUCCCAGGUAUAGAAGGAGUGUACCGAGGUCUCCAAUCUUUGGUCCCGGGUAUACGAUAGCUGCGCUCCCCUGCUAGAACCUCCAAACAAGCUCAAGAGGGUCACGAUUUACAAGUGGGUUGGCACUUGUACGUUUGGUACAAGA
rnacentral:snRNA from 1 species